ACGACUCUCAACAACGGAUAUCUCGGCUCUCACAUGGAUGAAGAACAUAGCGAAAUGGGAUCCUUGGUGUGAAUUGCAGAAUCCCGUGAACCAUCGAGUCUUUGAACGCAAGUUGUGCCCGAAGCCAAUAGGAAGAGGGCACGCAUGCCUGGGCAUUACACGUUGUUGUCCCCCAACUACUCCCUCAGGAUUGCAGGGGGUAGAUGAUGGCCUCCUAUAAUCUCCGUUGUGCAGUUGGCAUAAAUACGAAGUCCUCGGCUACGCACGCUACGACAAUUAGUGGCUGCGAAACCUCAAUUGCCUGUCGUGUGCGGUUGUCGGGCAUCAAGGGUUCGAAAAAAUGCUUGGCUCCGGCUUAGCUUUCAAUGCAACCCCAGGUUAGGAGGGGUUACCUGCGGAGGAAAAGAAACUUAUUAAGAUUUCCCUAGUAACGGGGAUCGAAUUAGGAAUAGCCUAGCUUGAAAAUCAGCGCCCAUGGUGUCCGAAUUGUAGUAUGUAGAAGCGUCAUCAGCGGUGAACUGGACCCAAGUCCACUGGAAGGUGGUGCUGGAGAGGGUGAGAGCCCCGUUGUGUUCAGACCAUGUCGUACCACGAAGCAUUGUCGGCGAGUCUGGUUGUUUGGGAAUGCAGCCCUAAUCGGGCAGUAAAUUUUGUCGAAGGCUAAAUACGAGCGAGUGACCGAUAGCAAAGAAGUACCGCGAGAGAAAGAUGAAAAAGGCUUUGAAAAAAAAGUCAAAGAGUACUUGAAAUUGUUGGGAGAGAAGGGUAUGGGGGGUUGGCGAUUCGCCCCAAUAAGAUGUGGAACGGUCACAAGCUAGUCCGCCAAUCGGCUUGGGCCGUUAACCGAUGCAGAUUGCGGCGGCGACCAAAGCCCAUGUUGCUAAUAUACCCACAUAGACUCCUUCGACGCAUCUGUGUGCUCUUAACAUCAGCCUAUGGGCUUCUUAUUCGGCCCUUCUUGAAACACAUACCAAUAAGUCUGACAUGUGAGCGAGUCAAUAAGCGAUUAAACUCGUAAGGCAUAAGGAAGUUGAUUGGCGGGAUUCCCUUGAGGGUUGCAUCACCGACCGACCUUGAUCUUUUGAGAGGAAACUCUGUUGAACUAUGCAUGAGCGGGUCGAAGCCAGAGGAAACUCUGGCGAAGGCCCACGACGAUACUAACGUGCAAAUCGUUAGUCUGAUUUUGGUAUAGGGGCGAAAGACUAAUCAAAACGUCAAGUAGUUGGCUCCCUCCAAAGUUUCCCUCAGGAUAGUUGGAGCCCAUGAACGAGUUCUAUCAAGUAAAACCAAUGAUUAAAGGCAUCGGGGACGCAACGCAUAAGACCUAUUCUCAAACUUUAUUUAGGUAAGAUGGAGCGGCUGCUUUGUUGAGCGGCGCCAUGGAAUCAAGAGCUCCAAAUGGGCCAUUUUCGAAAAGCAGAAUUGGCGAUGCGGGAUGAGUCGGAAGUGGGGUUACAGUGUCCAACUGCGCGCUAAUCUAGAACCCACAAAGGGUGUUGGUCGAUUAAGACAGCAGGACGAUGGUCAUGGAAGUCGAAAUUUGCUAAAGAGUGUGUAACAACUCACUUGUUGAAUCAAUUAGCCCUAAAAAUAGAUGGCGCUUAAGCGCGCAACCUACCAUGUCAUCAGGGCAAGUGCCAAGCCCCGAUGAGUAGGAGGGUGUAGUGGUCACUGCAAAACCUAGGGCGUGAACCCUAGCGGAGCAACCUUCGGUGCAGAUCUUGGUGGUAGUAGCAAAUAUUCAAAUGAGAACUUUAAAGGCUGAAGAGGGAAAAGGUUCCAUGUGAACGACACUUGCUCAUGGGUUUGUCGAUCCUAAGAGACGGGGGAAGCCCAUCUGAUAGCGCGUCUAGCAAGAACUUCAAAAUGGAAUUGGGUUAAAAUUCUUGGAUCGGGACGUGGUGGUUGACGGCAACGUCAAAAAGUCCAAAGACGUCAGCGGGGGCCUCGGGAAGAGUUAUCAUUUCUUUUUAACACCCUGGCCACCCUGGAAACGGCUCAACUGGAGUUAUGGUCCAACGGCUGGAAUAAGAACGCAUGUCGCGUGGUGUCCGGUGCGCUCCCGACGACCUUUGAAAAUUCGGAGCAUAAAAUGCCAUACUCAGUACCGCAUCAGAUCUCCAAGGUGAACAACCUUUAGUCGAUGCAACAAUGUAGGCAAGGGAAGUCGGUAAAAGGAUUGGCUUUGAGGGCUGGGCACAGGGUCCCAGUCCUUAACUCAUCGGCUAUAGGUGGACUACUCGAGCUGCUCCCCUGUCUAGAGUAAGUCAUUGCGUGCUGGCUGGGGGACGAACUGGGAGCGUUCCUUCAGGGACUUUUCCCCAGGCUUCGAACAGCCACCUCAAAACUUAUACGGACAAGGGGAAUCCAACUGUUUAAUUAAAACAAAGCAUUGCGAUGGUCCAUGCGAAUGCUAAUGCAAUGUGAUUUCUGCCUAGUGCUCUGAAAUUCAAAGUGAAGAAAUUCAACCAAGUGCGGGUAAAUGACAGGAGUAACUAUGACUCUCUUAAUGUAGCCAAAUGCCUAGUCAUCUAAUUAGUGAUGCGCAUGAAUGGAUUAACGAGAUUCCCACUGCCCCUGUCUACUAUCUAGUGAAACCACAGCCAAGGGAAUGGGCUUAGCAGAAUCAGCGGGGAAAGAAGACCCUGUUAAGCUUGACUCUAGUCUGACUUUGUGAAAUGACUUGAGAUGUGUAGUAUAAGUGAGAGCUUUGGCAAAACUGAAAUACCACUACUUUUAAUGUUAUUUUACUUUAACGAAGGCGUGUCAUCGCCCCUCUUUUUGGACCUAAGACUGGCCUCGCGUCGACCGAUCCGGGAGGAAGACAUUAUCAAGUAAGGAGUUUGGCUGGGUUAGCACAUCUGUGAAAAGAUAACGUAGGCGUCCUGAGAUGAGCUCAACGAGAACAAAAAUCUCGUGUGGAACAAAAGGGAAAAAACUCGUUUGAUUCUGAUUUCUAGUACGAAUACAACCCAUGAAAGCGUGGCCUAUUGAUCUUUUAGACCUUCAGAAUUUGAAGCUAAAGGUAUCAUAAAAGUUACCACAGGGAUAACUAGCUUGUGGCAGCUAAGCAUUCAUAGUGGUGUUGCUUUUAUAUCCUUCUAUGUCGGCUCUUUCUAUCAUUGUGAAGUAGAAUUCACCAAGUGUUGGAUUGUUCACCCACCAAUAGGGAACAUGAGUUAGGUUUAAACUGUCAUGAGACAAGUUAGUUUUACACUACUAAUGAUAGUGUUGCAAUAGUAAUUCAAACUAGUACGAGAGGAACCGUUGAUUCGCACAAUUGGUCAUCGUGCUUCUUUGAAAAGCCAGUUGCGUGAAGCUACUGUGCGUUGGAUUAUGACUAAACGCCUCUAAAUCAGAAUCUGGGCUAGAAGCGACGCAUGUGCCCACUGCCUGUUUGCUGACCCUCAGUAGGGGCUUUGGGUCCCCAAAGGCACAUGUCGUUAGUUAAGCCCUUGUGGUGGACGAGCUGCGAGGGCCGCCUUAAAUUACAAUUUCUACCGAGCGGUGGGUAGAAUCCUUUACAGACGACUUAAAUACGCGACGGGUUAUUGUAAGUGGGAGAGUGGCCU
rnacentral:rRNA from 1 species